rnacentral:rRNA from 1 species
CCAAUAGCGUAUAUUAAAGUUGUUGCAGUUAAAAAGCUCGUAGUUGAAUUUCGGGAUUGACGUGAUGGUCGUGCCUUACGGGGUAUGAACUGUCGCAGUUGAUUUCUCACCUUCUGGAGAAGCUCGAUGUCCUUAAUUGGGUGUCUUGCGGAACCAGGACCUUUACCUUGAAAAAAUUAGAGUGUUUAAAGCAGGCAUUUUGCUCGAAUA